GCCAAGCGAGUGGCCAAGCUGCUUUUUGACUUAACCGUAACCUUUUUAUUAUAAACAACUUGUGUGUUUUGAGCCCCGGUUUUGUAAACCGGCGGUUGUCGGUUCGAUUCCGACCGUUGGCU
rnacentral:tRNA from 1 species